GUGCCAGCAGCCGCGGUAAGACGGAGGGUGCAAGCGUUAUUCGGAUUUAUUGGGCGUAAAGAGCGUGUAGGCGGCCGGUCAAGCCAGAUGUGAAAGCCCAGGGCUUAACCCUGGAAGUGCAUUUGGAACUGGUUGGCUUGAGUUCGGGAGAGGGAAGUGGAAUUCCGGGUGUAGAGGUGAAAUUCGUAGAUAUCCGGAGGAACACCGGUGGCGAAGGCGACUUCCUGGACCGAAACUGACGCUGAGACGCGAAAGCGUGGGGAGCAAACAGGAUUAGAAACCCGCGUAGUCC
rnacentral:rRNA from 1 species